ACUCAAAUGAAUUGACGGGGGCCCGCACAAGCGGUGGAGCAUGUGGUUCAAUUCGACGCAACGCGAAGAACCUUACCCAGGCUCGAACGGUGAGUGACAUCCUAUGAAAGUAGGCUUCCGCAAGGACAGUCACCGAGGUGCUGCAUGGCUGUCGUCAGCUCGUGUCGUGAGAUGUUGGGUUAAGUCCCGCAACGAGCGCAACCCUUGUCCGCUGUUGCCAUCACGUUAUGGUGGGCACUCUGCGGAGACUGCCGGUGAUAAACCGGAGGAAGGUGGGGAUGACGUCAAGUCAGCAUGGCCUUUAUGUCUGGGGCUACACACGUGCUACAAUGGCCGACACAAACCGUCGCGAUACCGCAAGGUGGAGCUAAUCGGAUAAAGUCGGUCUCAGUUCGGAUUGCAGGCUGCAACUCGCCUGCAUGAAGUUGGAAUCGCUAGUAAUCGCGGAUCAGCACGCCGCGGUGAAUACGUUCCCGGGCCUUGUACACACCGCCCGU
rnacentral:rRNA from 1 species